rnacentral:lncRNA from 1 species
GCCUACCUUGUAGCUUACUGGCUUGUGUCUGAUGCACAAUGCAGAAGGGCAAAGGUUCGAAGGCUAGUUCGGUGGUGCUUGGAGGAGGUGGUGGUGUUGCCAUUUGUUGUAGCUGUUGUUGUUGUUGUUGUUAUUAUUAUUAUUAUUACAUAUAAAAAGAGGUAUUCUAAAAUACCUUUUUUUUUAUUUACUUUGGAGUAA